GACGCUAUAGUUUAAACUUUUAAAACAUUGAUCUUGUAAAUCAAAAUUUGGCCCUCAUUGUGUCA
rnacentral:tRNA from 1 species